UGAGGGAUAUUGGUCAAUGGGCGCAAGCCUGAACCAGCGACGCCGCGUGGGUGAAGAAGGUCUUCGGAUCGUAAAGCCCUUUUCCCACUGAAGAGGAAGGACGGUAGGUGGGGAAGAAGUCUCGGCUAACUACGUGCCAGCAGCCGCGGUAAAACGUAGGAGACAAGCGUUAUCCGGAGUUACUGGGCGUAGAGGGCGUGCAGGUGGCGUCUUAAGUCUGUUGUGAAAGCGCCUGGCUUAACCGGGCGAGGCCAAUGGAGACUGAGAGGCUGGAGGACGGCGGAGGGGUGUGGAAUUCCGGGUGUAGUGGUGAAAUGCGUAGAGAUCCGGAGGAACACCAGAGGCGAAGGCGGCACUCUAAGCCGUACCUGACACUGAGACGCGACAGCACGGGGAGCAAACG
rnacentral:rRNA from 1 species